GUUUCCGCCGGGAGGGGGGCUGCAGGCCGCGGGCCGUGUCUGACCUGAAUUCUUACACUUACAGGAAAUUAGAGCCCUUGGAAGCAGGUGCGCUGGGAUCCUAACACUCGGGUGGCCGAGAGGGCGAUGUGGCUGAGGCAACAGGGAAAGGGGGCUGGACUGGGCUGGGGGCUGGAGGAGGGGCCAGUCCCGAGGGGACGGGGCUCCAACCUCACCUUCCUGCUGUCGUGGAGAAGAAAAGUGGUAAUGACCGCUACUGUGCACUGGGCUCUCGCUCUGUGCUUUGCUUGUGUUUGCUCAGUUAAUCCUCCCAACAUGCCUCUAAGCCACCUAUGGGCAACAAGGUCUCCAAGGAAACUCCAGAACAUUCUGUGGGUUUCAGUGGUUACCUGCUGAGGCGGCAUUGGGCAUGGAGCAUCCGAGGGUCCAAGAUGAGGAAACUGCCGCUCAGAGACGGCAGCCGACCCAGCCAAGGCCGCACAGCCAGGAUUCAAAGCCAUACCGCUCAGCUCCUGCCUCCAGGCUCUGCCUUUGCAUGUGGCUUCUCCUGGCUCCUGGACCCUUCCCCGGCCCUCCCAGCUGGCUGUGCUGUGACAGUGGGCGGGGGAGUGCCAAGGCUCUGCCCUGCCCCCCGCCCUUGGCAUCUCCGGUCAAUAUGGCACUCACAGCUCCCUGGGCAUGGACCCCCUCCUGCCAUCCCCACUUAAAGUGAUACUUUAAUAAAUUAUGCUUUUAUGUUAUUACACGUGGAGCUAUAAAAGCAGAGAGUGUGCGGCCGGGCUGAGGUAAGGCGCCCGCGACUUUCCAAUUUCCUGGUCUGGCCUGGCUCUGCUCCGCACCGUGAAUUUUUCAUUAAUGUGCACAGGUGACGCCACGGGGCAGCCGCAGGCCAGGUAGGCUCCCACGGCGGCAAGGCCUGGGCUGGACCUUGCUGGGCUGGGCUGGGCUGGGGAUGGCACAGCGGGUUUUGUACCAACAAGGAUUAGAAAUAGCAUCACGCUGCGGCUCAAGAUCAUGCCCUGGAUUUAAAUAGCCAGGGCGGCCAGGCACAGUGGCUCACGCCUGUAAUCCCAGCACUUUGGGAGUCCAAGGCAGAAGGAUCUCUCCAGCCCAAGAGUUCAAGGGCAGCCUGGUUAACAUAGCGAGACCCUGUCACUACAAAAAAUUUUUAAAAAUUAGCUGGGCAUGGUGGCAUGUGCCUGCAGUCCCAGCUACUCGGGAGGCUGAGGUGGAGGGAUGGCUUGAGCCUGGGAGUUGAGGUUGCAGUGAGCUAGGAUCACACCACUGCACUCCAGCCUGGGCGACACAGCAAGACCCUGUCUCAAAUAAACAAACAAAUAAGCACACACAAGAACUAGAAACCCCCUGUGUCUAGAGGAAGGAAGGGGCGUCCACUGGCCUGUGCCAGACUCUGGGCCGGCGUUUGUUGCACAUGACCUCAUUUCACCCUCAGAAGGCCAUGAGAUAGCCUUAUGCACCCCACUUGAUGGAUGAGGAAAGUGGGGCUCUGUUGGUGAGUGAGUGGCGGUGUCAGCUCUGAACCCAGCCAGUCUGAUUCUAGAACCUGAGUUCCUAACUGCUAGGCUGUUCUCAUUCAUUCCUUUCUCCCUCCUCUUCUCCCCCACGUCUGUGGGUCCUUUCCAUGUAGUCAUAGUUACAGAGGCAAUGGACACAUUGAAGAGAGGAAAGAAAACAAACACGACCUAGAAUCUACGGGGAAGGAAGCCUUCUAGACUCCAGACCUUCCGUGUCCAGAAGUGUCAGUCUUCACAUCUGUGAGGUGGGGCCAAGGAGUCCUGCCCUGCCAUGCUGGGUGUUGACUUCGGGGAAGGGGCCUUGGGAUGUCUAUGAGGAUGCAGCUGCUGCCUUCUGUCUUGGCAGAGACCAUGGCCACCCCAGGACACCGUGUUUGGUCCCCGCUGUGCUAAGUCUCCUCCAGGCACCAGCCAGGCAUCAGUGGAGCACAGCGGAAAUGGGUCCAAAGCCACCCACAGAGGCUCUGUGUGGUUCUUGGAUAAUUCUGGAAGGCUCUAGAGAAGGCAACAAGAAGGCAGGAACCCAGGGCCAGAAACUGGACAACUUGUGUGUGUUUGUCUGUAAAGUGGGGCUAGGAAUCCGCGUGGGGGUCAAAUGAGAACAGCUCUGCCUCCCAGCGCACAGUCCCGCGUCGAGGUCAGAGAGCCUCUUAGGCCCUGGCUCUUUUGGGAAAUCAUCCCAGGGGCUAAAGACAAAACUGAAGUUGAAAUAAACAUGGGGGUCCAAACACUCCAGAAUUCUGAGUGAGGGAAUCUCCUCCCAGGCUUCCACGCCAGGCCCGAAUGCAAACAAGAGGCAGCAGGGGUGGCUUGGGCCCCUCACACAGAAUUAGUGAGAUUAGCUGAGAACCAGAGCCCAGCAGAUGUCCCCUCUCUGGACUCGGUGACUCACUUGCCUCCCUGGUUGAGAAUCGUAUCCGGCUGGGCCUGAGCUGUCCUGGCUGGCGGGGAGCUGGACGCAGGGCAGAGGUCGGGGUAAACACCCGUGCUCCAGGCGGGAGGUCGGGAUGGGGGUGGUGACAAGGAGGACAACAUUUCCACUCAGCAGAAAGAAGAGCCUGAGCUGCCCUAGAGCCGGAGGCGCUGCCUGGAGAGGUCGUGAGGACCCGGUCCCAGAGGUGUGCAAGCUGGGUACCCUUUGAAGACUAUAGGAGGAUUCCAGUUGGCGCUGGGAGUACUCCAGGCAGGAUGCCAGUUCAGGUCCUUCGUGCAUGAGACUCUCCCAGAGAGGCAGGCAAACAUUUUCUGGGAAGGGCCAGAUAGUAAAUAUUUCAGGUUUUGCGGGUCAUCCUGCUAUCUCUGUUGCAACUGCUCAACUCUGCCACUGUAGCUUGGAAGCAGCUACAGACAAUACAUAAAUGAAUGGAUGUGGG
rnacentral:lncRNA from 10 species